rnacentral:rRNA from 1 species
UCAGUUGGCUUAUAAUUGAAGUCUAGUAUGAAUGGGAACUCGGGGAUAUUCUGUCUUUUAUUUACGAUUUGAAAUUACUAAUUAAGUGAAAAUUCUUAACCUUUCAGAAAAAAGACGAGAAGACCCUAGAAAUUUUUUAUUAUAUAUUUUGUUGGGGCGACAAGGUAACAUAAAACUUACCUAUGCAAUAGGAAAUUUUUUAGUUGGGUAAAUAAAUUACUCUAGGGAUAACAGCAUAAUAUUUUUAAAGUUUGUGACCUCGAUGUUGGACUAGGAAAUACCCUACU